rnacentral:rRNA from 1 species
UACGAAGGGGACUAGCGUUGUUCGGAAUCACUGGGCGUAAAGCGCACGUAGGCGGAUGUGUCAGUCAGGGGUGAAAUCCCGAGGCUCAACCUCGGAACUGCCUUUGAUACAGCACGUCUCGAGUCCGGAAGAGGUGGGUGGAAUUCCUAGUGUAGAGGUGAAAUUCGUAGAUAUUAGGAAGAACACCGGUGGCGAAGGCGGCCCACUGGUCCGGUACUGACGCUGAGGUGCGAAAGCGUGGGGAGCAAACAGGAUUGAGAUAC